CCUACGGGUGGCUGCAGUGGGGAAUAUUGGACAAUGGGCGAAAGCCUGAUCCAGCCAUGCCGCGUGUGUGAAGAAGGCCUUCGGGUUGUAAAGCACUUUCAGUGGGGAAGAAAGCCUUGGGGCUAAUACCCUCGAGGAAGGACAUCACCCACAGAAGAAGCACCGGCUAACUCCGUGCCAGCAGCCGCGGUAAUACGGAGGGUGCGAGCGUUAAUCGGAAUUACUGGGCGUAAAGCGCGCGUAGGCGGUCUGAUAAGCCGGUUGUGAAAGCCCCGGGCUCAACCUGGGAACGGCAUCCGGAACUGGCAGGCUAGAGUGCAGGAGAGGAAGGUAGAAUUCCCGGUGUAGCGGUGAAAUGCGUAGAGAUCGGGAGGAAUACCAGUGGCGAAGGCGGUCUUCUGGACUGACACUGACGCUGAGGUGCGAAAGCGUGGGUAGCAAACAGGAUUAGAUACCCUAGUAGUC
rnacentral:rRNA from 1 species